ACACGUGUCAAUGUCAGAAUGAAACUAGAAACUCUCUUCUAUAAAUAGAGAUCAUUCUCUCACAAUAUUUCAUAAUGUCAUUUGUACUAAAUCAUUCACUAGUACUCACAAAAGGAGAGCUUGAACCUAUGUACUUGUGUAAACCUUUCACAAUUAAUGAGAACUCUACUCCGUGGACGUAGCCAAUCUGGGUGAACCACAUACAUCUUGUGUUUGCUACUCUGUCUUUAUCUAUUUACAUACUUGUCCACACUAGUGACCGGAGCAAUCUAGCGAAGGUCACAAACUUAACACUUUCUGUUGUACCGAAGUCCUCACUGAUUUUGUGCAUCAACAGCGCGUAAAGUAAUAUACUAGGUAAUUUACGUUUCGUGUAUAGAUAAAAAUUCCUCAUCAUGUGCAAGAUCUUUUUCUCUAUAAUAGCUAAAUAUAGAUAGUUGUUGUAAACUUUCCUAGUUUAAGUGUGAUUGUGUAAUCCUAGAUUAGAUUUGAUUCUAAUUAUCCUUUCCUAUUACAACUUGUAUUCCUUGAGGAUGAAGGAAUUUUUUCUCUCCUUUUUACUACUAUAAAUAAAGGUACUCAUUCCCUUACAAUUCUACAAACAUAUCUCUCUCAAUCUCUCUACCCUUGCCGCCGACCCCUCUUAACCUUGUUAGAUAAAAUAGGGUACAACACGUUAUCAGCACACUCCUACCGCUGCGCUUAGGAAUUUGACGAGGAGAUUUUUUGCAUCAAACCAGUUCAUCCAUAUCAUCACGCAAUCAUGUUCUUUCAAAACAACGGUUUUUAUCUUGAUAUUUUUGUAGCCCUGAUAUCAUGAACAUUCACCAUAAUGCAUGACUCAACUUUACGUUUUUUGAAUUGUAGAUUGUACAUAAAUUGUGUAUGCAUUAUAUUCAUAAUUGUUGAAUUAUGUGAAUUUGAUAUUUUCCAUGAAUUGCAUCAAAUAUAUGUACAU
rnacentral:lncRNA from 1 species